AGAGUUUGAUCAUGGCUCAGGACGAACGCUGGCGGCGUGCCUAAUACAUGCAAGUAGAACGCUGAAGACUGGUGCUUGCACUAGUCAGAUGAGUUGCGAACGGGUGAGUAACGCGUAGGUAACCUACCUUAUAGCGGGGGAUAACUAUUGGAAACGAUAGCUAAUACCGCAUGACAAUUAAGUACUCAUGUACUAAAUUUAAAAGGAGCAAUUGCUUCACUAUGAGAUGGACCUGCGUUGUAUUAGCUAGUUGGUGAGGUAACGGCUCGCCAAGGCUACGAUACAUAGCCGACCUGAGAGGGUGAUCGGCCACACUGGGACUGAGACACGGCCCAGACUCCUACGGGAGGCAGCAGUAGGGAAUCUUCGGCAAUGGGGGCAACCCUGACCGAGCAACGCCGCGUGAGUGAAGAAGGUUUUCGGAUCGUAAAGCUCUGUUGUUAGAGAAGAACGGUAAUGGGAGUGGAAAAUCCAUUACGUGACGGUAACUAACCAGAAAGGGACGGCUAACUACGUGCCAGCAGCCGCGGUAAUACGUAGGUCUCGAGCGUUGUCCGGAUUUAUUGGGCGUAAAGCGAGCGCAGGCGGUUAUUUAAGUCUGGAGUUAAAGGCCGUGGCUCAACCAUGGUUCGCUUUGGAAACUGGAUAACUUGAGUGCAGAAGGGGAGAGUGGAAUUCCAUGUGUAGCGGUGAAAUGCGUAGAUAUAUGGAGGAACACCGGUGGCGAAAGCGGCUCUCUGGUCUGUAACUGACGCUGAGGCUCGAAAGCGUGGGGAGCAAACAGGAUUAGAUACCCUGGUAGUCCACGCCGUAAACGAUGAGUGCUAGGUGUUAGGCCCUUUCCGGGGCUUAGUGCCGCAGCU
rnacentral:rRNA from 1 species